rnacentral:rRNA from 1 species
AGUGAACGCUGGCGGUAGGCCUAACACAUGCAAGUCGAACGGCAGCACAGGAGAGCUUGCUCUCUGGGUGGCGAGUGGCGGACGGGUGAGGUAUACAUCGGAAUCUACUUUUUCGUGGGGGAUCACGUAGGGAAACUUACGCUAAUACCGCCUACGACCUACGGGUGAAAGCAGGGGACCUUCGGGCCUUGCGCGAUUGAAUGAGUCGGUGUCGGAUUAGCUCGUUGGCGGGGUAAAGGCCCACCAAGGCGACGAUCCGUAGCUGGUCUGCGAGGAUGACCAGCCACACUGGAACUGAGACACAGUCCAGACUCCUAAGGGAGGCAGCAGUGGGGAAUAUUGGACAAUGGGCGCAAGCCUGAUCCAGCCAUACCGCGUGGGUGAAGAAGGCCUUCGGGUUGUAAAGCCCUUUUGUUGGGAAAGAAAUCCAUCUGGCUAAUACCCGGUUGGGAUGACGGUACCCAAAGAAUAAGCACCGGCUAACUUCGUGCCAGCAGCCGCCGUAA